GUCCUCUUCUGGCCACUGAAAUGACCAAGGUGCCCAAAGGAGGACAAGUGAGAUGAUCCAAAGUCUGGAGACCAUGAAGACUCCCUCUGACUAACCAGAGUUCAGCAAGAUCAGAACUUUGAGAGGAUUUCUUCUUCCUUGCUGCACCUUUGGCUUCCACGUUCCUCAAACUCCAUUGCAUAUUUGUUUGUUCCUCAUGAGGCCAGGGGUAGCUCCAUACAAUCCUCAUUUCCCUGGUCAAGAAAGAAGUAAAAGAUCAGGAAUGAAAGCCAAAA